rnacentral:misc_RNA from 1 species
UGGCCCUCGGUUAUCUAGUAAACAUGGUGCUGGUAUACUCAAGAAAGAGUUUAAUGGUGAGGCCCAAAAGGAAUCAGAACCAGCUGAUAUGCCAGAUUUUGUAUUAAAAUUCAAAUCAGUUUAUAGGUGUCGGAUUUGCCCCCGAAUUGUCUGUUUGACNNNNNNNNNNNNNAGACUAUGAUGACUCCCCUCAAUUCUAAGAGACAUGCACGAUCUGCGAAGCUACUGAAGGAAAAUAGGUUGAAGGCCAUGCUCAACAGUGAUGGGGAAAUAGAGAACCAGGAAACCCCAACAGAGAUGCAUAAUCGAAUUGUCGCUCUUGCAGAGAAUAAGUCAAAAAAGAAGAAUAAAGGGCGCCAACGACAAAAGAAGCGGUCAAGAACGAAGAAAGGGAGAGAGAUCUUAAAUAUGGAGAAAACGAGGGGUUCAACAAAAGCACCAGCCAAGAAAAG